AUAACUUUAACAAUAUUCAGUUUAUUUAAAUGAAUGGACAUUCGGUAGAUAGCUGGGGUCUGGGUGCACAUUUUGUGGGAAUACCGCUCAGAUCCCGGCUAAAACAACCAAACGCCGCACGAAUACACUUUGCCAUUGAGUUCACCUAAAAGUACUGAACACCGAUGGGGAACCACAAUAGGGAAAGACCGGAGCUCCCGAACGGCCUGGAAGUCCAGCGGUGUUCGCGCCGUCGAGUAGCCGUUUUCAGUGCCACGCGCUCGACGGCCAAACACCGCUGAUGAGACAAAGGAUCCAAGAUGGCCGAC